rnacentral:rRNA from 1 species
CUGGUCAGGACGAACGCUGGCGGCGUGCUUAACACAUGCAAGUCGAACGAGGUUAUAGGAGAGCUUGCUCGAAUAUAACCGAGUGGCGGACGGGUGAGUAACGCGUGAGCAACCUGUCUCACACAGGGGAAUAACGCAUCGAAAGAUGUGCUAAUACCGCAUAGGACCACGGUUUCGCAUGGGACUGAGAUGAAAGGAGCAAUCCGGUGUGAGGUGGGCUCGCGUCUGAUUAGAUAGUUGGUGAGGUAACGGCCCACCAAGCCAACGAUCAGUAGCCGACCUGAGAGGGUGAUCGGCCACAUUGGGACUGAGACACGGCCCAGACUCCUACGGGAGGCAGCAGUGGGGAAUAUUGGGCAAUGGGCGAAAGCCUGACCCAGCAACGCCGCGUGAAGGAAGAAGGUUUCGGAUCGUAAACUUCUGUCCUAUAUGAAGAUAAUGACGGUAGUAUAGGAGGAAGCCCCGGCUAACUACGUGCCAGCCGCUGC